rnacentral:rRNA from 1 species
UACGUAGGGUGCGAGCGUUGUUCGGAAUCAUUGGGCGUAAAGCGAGAGUAGGUGGUUUGCUAAGUCGGGUGUGAAAUCCCUGGGCUCAACCCAGGAAGUGCAUUCGAAACUAGCUCACUUGAAGAUGGUAGAGGAAGGUGGAAUUCCAAGUGUAGAGGUGAAAUUCGUAGGAUAUUUGGAGGAAUACCGGCGGCGAAGGCGGCCUUCUGGACCAUUCUUGACACUGAGACUCGAAAGCGUGGGUAGCAAACAGG